GGACAAUGAUAUUACCUUCUUAAGUUGUGGUGAAGAUUAAAUAGAUUACACAUAAAAGAUUAACAUAAAGCUUUAAGAGCAGUACUUUGCCCAUAGAAAGCAUUCAAUAACUGACAGCUAUUUUAAUUUUUGUAAUUACUAUCUUCAAUUCAAAUAAGCAGACAUUGCCUGUCUUAAGUUAUUUAACCUAGUCUUCAUCAAUGAAUAUUUAGGUUUUUUCCAUUUUUUGCUACUGCAAACACCAUGAUAAGUUUCCUUGUAUGUGCAAUUUUGUGUACUGUUCAUUAUAGUACAAAUACAAUCAUUGGUAAGUUAAGAAUAUAAACAUUCCCGGGCUUUGUAAUACGUAUUAUCAAAUCUGUCAGAUCGUUCUAAUUAACACUCUCACUAAUGGCCUUAAUCCCUUUACACAUCUUUUGUAGUGGUUAACACAAGGCCAGUGUGUUAGUCAGCUUUCCAUUGAUAUUACAAAAUACCAAGGCAAUAAGCUUGUAAGGAGGAAAUGUUUAUUUAGGCUCAUGGUUUCAGAGGUUCAGCCCAUGGUUACUUAAGCCUGUCAUUUUGGGCCUGUGGUAGAACAUUACUUCAUGACCAGAAGUGCAUAGCAGAGGAAGCUGCUCACAUCAUGACUGUUGGAACAUGGAGAGAGAGAAAUAAGAAGGGGCCAAGGUCCCAAAUCCCCUACAAGAGCUCACCCUAUUGGCCUAACUUCCUUUCACUAGGCCACAACUCUUAAAGUUUCCACCACCUCCCAAAAGCAUCUUGGGCUGGGAACCAAGCCUUUAACACCUGGGCCUUUGGGGGUCGCUCAAGAUCCCAAGAUAUAGCAGCUACAUUCAUAAUUCUUUCUGUUGGGUGUAUUUUUCUCACUGGAUGAAUAUUCAUUAAAUAAAAGACCUGGCACCUCGAGAACCUUAAAUAGUAUAAACAGGAUUUCAUGAUAGCCUGUCCUCCAUUUUCUCCAUCUAUAUGCUGUGUGAGGGCUGGUCCUGGGAGAGCUGGAGUGGCUUGUUCUUACAGGUAUCAGUGAUGUUCGAGGAUGUGGCUGUGCUCUUUACUCAGGAUGAGUGGAAAAAGCUUUAUCCUUCCCAGAGAAGCUCGUACCGGGAGGUGAUACUGGAGAACUAUAGUAACCUGGCCUCACUGGGUAAGGAAAUCCCCUGUGGACACAGUUCAGAAAUUAGACUUCAGCACCUGCUUCCCUGAAUAAAAGCUGUUGGUCAUCAAAAAAGUUUAGCUGAGGUUUGCCUUAUGAUUAUACAAAUCAUAUAUUUGUAAAUAAAUAUUGUGAACAUGUUCCUCUUACUGGUAUAGAAUUGCCUUGUGUUUAGGAAUGGAG
rnacentral:lncRNA from 1 species